GGCGGACGCUGGCGGCGUGCCUAUACAUGCAAGUCUGAGCGAACUGAUUAGAAGCUUGCUUCUAUGACGUUAGCGGCGGACGGGUGAGUAACACGUGGGCAACCUGCCUGUAAGACUGGGAUAACUUCGGGAAACCGAAGCUAAUACCGGAUAGGAUCUUCUCCUUCAUGGGAGAUGAUUGAAAGAUGGUUUCGGCUAUCACUUACAGAUGGGCCCGCGGUGCAUUAGCUAGUUGGUGAGGUAACGGCUCACCAAGGCAACGAUGCAUAGCCGACCUGAGAGGGUGAUCGGCCACACUGGGACUGAGACACGGCCCAGACUCCUACGGGAGGCAGCAGUAGGGAAUCUUCCGCAAUGGACGAAAGUCUGACGGAGCAACGCCGCGUGAGUGAUGAAGGCUUUCGGGUCGUAAAACUCUGUUGUUAGGGAAGAACAAGUACGAGAGUAACUGCUCGUACCUUGACGGUACCUAACCAGAAAGCCACGGCUAACUACGUGCCAGGCCGCCGCGGUA
rnacentral:rRNA from 2 species